rnacentral:snRNA from 1 species
CAAAAUACCUGGCAGGGGAAAUAAUGUGAUCACAAACGUGGUUUUCCCAUUUCCGCUGGAUGUACUGACCAUGUGUGGGAAACUUGACUGCAUAAUUUAUGGGGGGGACUGUGUUUGCACUUUCCCCUA